UCCUACGGGAGGCAGCAGUGGGGAAUAUUGCACAAUGGGGGAAACCCUGAUGCAGCGACGCCGCGUGAACGAAGAAGGUAUUCGUAUCGUAAAGUUCUGUCCUAUGGGAAGAUAAUGACAGUACCAUAGAAGAAAGCUCCGGCUAAAUACGUGCCAGCAGCCGCGGUAAUACGUAUGGAGCGAGCGUUGUCCGGAAUUAUUGGGCGUAAAGGGUACGCAGGCGGUUUAUAUAAGUCGAAUGUUAAAGAUCGGGGCUCAACCCCGAAAAGCAGUGGAUACUGAUAAACUUGAGUAGUGGAGAGGAAAGUGGAAUUCCUAGUGUAGUGGUGAAAUACGUAGAUAUUAGGAGGAUACCAGUAGCGAAGGCGACUUUCUGGACACUAACUGACGCUGAGGUACGAAAGCGUGG
rnacentral:rRNA from 2 species